GUAGGGAGCGAGCGUUGUCCGGAAUUACUGGGUGUAAAGGGUGCGUAGGCGGCCUGGCAAGUUAGUGGUGAAAACUAUGGUCUUAACCCAUAGCCUGCCAUUAAAACUGCUGGGCUUGAGUGAAGUAGAGGUAGGUGGAAUUCCCGGUGUAGCGGUGAAAUGCGUAGAGAUCGGGAGGAACACCAGUGGCGAAGGCGGCCUACUGGGCUUUAACUGACGCUGAGGCACGAAAGCAUGGGUAGCAAACAGGAUUAGAUACCCUGGUAGUCCAUGCCGUAAACGAUGAUUACUAGGUGUGGGGGGUCUAACCCCCUCCGUGCCGGAGUUAACACAAUAAGUAAUCCACCUGGGGAGUACGACCGCAAGGUUG
rnacentral:rRNA from 1 species